rnacentral:snoRNA from 2 species
CCCCUCUCAGGAUCACACCUGGAGAGUUUCCAGUACUCUAUCAGUCUUGGCUAUGAAAGGGAGAGUCAAGCAGAGGCCUACCCUUUCCAUUCCUUCCUUGGGCAGUGACUAGCAAGUGGAAGGCAAUCUGCUACAAGU